UCCCCGGUAGCUCAAUGGUGGAGCAGAGAGCUGUUAACUCUAAGGUUGCUGGUUCGAGCCCAGCCCGGGGAG
rnacentral:tRNA from 1 species